AUUGAACGCUGGCGGCAUGCCUUACACAUGCAAGUCGAACGGUAACGCGGGGCAACCCGGCGACGAGUGGCGAACGGGUGAGUAAUGCAUCGGAACGUGCCCAGUCGUGGGGGAUAACGCAGCGAAAGCUGCGCUAAUACCGCAUACGAUCUAUGGAUGAAAGCGGGGGACCGUAAGGCCUCGCGCGAUUGGAGCGGCCGAUGUCAGAUUAGGUAGUUGGUGGGGUAAAGGCUCACCAAGCCAACGAUCUGUAGCUGGUCUGAGAGGACGACCAGCCACACUGGGACUGAGACACGGCCCAGACUCCUACGGGAGGCAGCAGUGGGGAAUUUUGGACAAUGGGCGCAAGCCUGAUCAAGCAAUGCCGCGUGCAGGAAGAAGGCCUUCGGGUUGUAAACUGCUUUUGUACGGAACGAAACGGUCCGGGUUAAUACCCUGGGCUAAUGACGGUACCGUAAGAAUAAGCACCGGCUAACUACGUGCCAGCCGCCGCAGUAAAAC
rnacentral:rRNA from 1 species